rnacentral:lncRNA from 1 species
CAUUCAUCUACUUUUUCCAGUGAGGACCUCGGGGCCCAGAGCCGUGGAGGAAAUUGCCCCAGACUUUACAAGGUGUUCUCAGAAAUACCAGGCCUAGAAGGCAUUUCUCCCAGCUUUUUCUCCACGGUCUUUCCUGUUUUCCUCUUUCUCCACCCCCAAAGUUUCCCCUGCAUCCCUGGGCCUGCCUGUUAGAGUCUAGGCUUCCUAGGGCACCGCUGGAGGAGGGGAAAGGGCCAAGUGACACUGGGAGAAAUUCCUGGCCUUGUAGUGAUGUAGCCACAGUCUCCUGGGCGCCCCAGGCCUCCCCUCCUCCAGCUCCUCUCUCUCUGGCUGCUCCGUCUCCAGCUCAGCAGGUUGACCGGAUCUGGGUUUGGAUCUAGACUUGCCCCUUGUCACUCUCCUGGAAGUGGGAAGAGGUCAGCCAGGCCCAGCCCAGCCCCUGAAGGAGGCCGACCCAUGGGAACCAGAAUAUUUCCUAAUCCUGGGAAGCCCUGACAGGCCCCUGCGAGCAGUCUUCCUUCCGCCUCACCCCAAGUCCUCUCCGUGCUCCCUCUUCAGGGCCCCUCCCUCUGCGCCCUUCAUUCUUCUCCAGCCCAGAAGCUGUUGUGACGGUGACUCGGCCUCCACUCCUCCUGGCCCCUCCUCGCCAGGGACUUCCCUGGGGUGGGCCUCUCACCAGCUUUGGAAAAUCUGGGCUGUUUGUGAUCAAACAGGAGGCUGCCUCACUGCACGCCCCAGGCUCGCUCUCUCUGUUAGAGGCCCGACCACAGAAAGGUCCAGCUGGCUCUGGAGGAGAGCAGGUGGGAGAGCCCGCCCCCGCGACAGGUGCUUUGGCCCUGACCUUGAGGGGUGAUCCCAAGGGAGGCAGGGGCAGACUCCCACCUGGUCUCCCCAUCUAGCCUCAGAUCACCCCAAGCCCACACACUCACCCGCCAACCCUCACAGACACGUAUUCAUGGAACAACCCAGACACACUCAGACACCCACAGGCAUACUCACAAACACAUAAACAGGCUCACACACUUUCGUUCCCACGGUCCCACACACAGGCACCUGGGGGGACCUGACACACGCUCACAAACACACACACACACCUGCCCUCACCCUUGCCCGCCUACUCCCUCGUCUUGGGAAAAGGAUAAGCCCAACAUUGAUCGUUCUUUUCCUUCCUUUUGGAAAACCUGGCAGGGACUAGAGAGAAAAAGGCGAGCUGAGAAGGCCGGGCAAGAAGAGGAGGGCAGGAAGAGGAAAUCGGAAAUGGAGGAAGAGAAGGCAAGAGGGCAAGGAAAAAGCCCAUUCUGGAUAAGCCGUGAGAUCCUGCUGUUACAGCACUGCGAACUGUAUCUAGUCACUUAUGAUGGAGCGUGAUAAUGUGAGAAAAAGAAUGUGUAAUGUAGGUGUCACCGGGUCACCUUGCUGCACAGCAGAAAAUUGACAGAACGUUGUAAACCAGCUAUAAUGGAAAAAAUAAACAUCAUUUAUCUAGUCUCAAAAAAAAAAAGAAAAGAAAAGAAAAGAAAAAGCCCGUUUCUUCCCUCUGCGCUGGGUCUUGCUGGGAUGUUGAGUGACCCUAGAGACCCCCCCACCAAUGAGCCUCGCUGCUCUGCGCUAACUCCUGAGCCUGGCUUCCCCAUCCUCAGCCUCAGUGAUCCCUUGCUGCAAAAUGGGGACAGUGCGUCCUGUUUUGCCCACCUCCUGUGAUGGUAGUGAAAAUAAAUCGGUAGCGGGAGUUCCCCAAUGGCCAAGCAGUUGAGGAUCUAGCAUUGUCCUCGCUGUGGCUCGGCUCACUGCUGUGGCGCAGAUUUGAUCUCUGGCUCAGGAGUUUCUGCAUGCUGCGGGCACAGCCAAAAGAAAAAAAAGAGAGAGAGAGAGAGUUUACGGACAUCCCUUGUAAACGAUUGACUGUUUACAAAUAUAAGGUCUCAGUUCAUCAUUUGCUGAACAAAUGCCUGGGUAGGGGACGGAUGGGGACCAUCGAGAUGAGCUGGACUUUCUCCAUCAUUCCUGCCUGAUUCUGGGGUUUCUUUAUUCUUACACAACAUCAUAGACAUAGGGAUGGACUAGUCAGACCCAUGUCCUGCCCACUUAGAGCUCAAAGACUCUGGGGCUCCCCUGUCCAGUCCAGUAGUCAUCAGCCCACAUGUGGCUAUUUAAAUAUAAACUCGGAGUUCCUGCUGUGGCUUAGUGGUAAUGAACCCGACUAGUAUUCAUGAGGAUG